AACGAACGCUGGCGGCGCGCUUAACACAUGCAAGUCGAACGAGAAGGCGUAGCAAUACGCUUGUACAGUGGCGAACGGGUGAGUAAUACGUGGGCGACCUACCCUCGAGUGGGGAAUAACCCGCCGAAAGGCGGGCUAAUGCCGCGUACGCUUCCAUCUUUAUGGAGGUGGAAGGAAAGCCGUGCCGUGGGCACGGCGCUCAAGGAUGGGCUCACGUCCUAUCAGCUUGNGGUAGGGUAACGGCCUACCAAGGCUCCGACGGGUAGCUGGUCUGAGAGGACGAUCAGCCACACUGGCACUGCGACACGGGCCAGACUCCUACGGGAGGCAGCAGUGAGGAAUAUUGCGCAAUGGGCGAAAGCCUGACGCAGCGACGCCGCGGUGGGGGA
rnacentral:rRNA from 1 species